UACGUAGGCGGAAAAUUAAGUCAGUAGUGAAAUCCUGCAGCUUAACUGUAGAACUGUUAUUGAUACUGGUUUUCUUGAAUAUAGUUGAGGUAGGCGGAAUGUGUAAUGUAGCGGUGAAAUGCUUAGAUAUUACACAGAACACCGAUUGCGAAGGCAGCUUACUAAGCUAUGAUUGACGCUGAGGUACGAAAGCGUGGGGAGCGAACAGGAUUAGAUACCCUGGCAGUCC
rnacentral:rRNA from 1 species